rnacentral:rRNA from 1 species
UGGGAACCUUCCCUAUGGUUCGGAAUAGCUCAGGGAAACUUGGGGUAAUACCGGAUAAGCCCUUCGGGGGAAAGAUUUAUCGCCAUUGGAUGGGCCCGCGUCGGAUUAGCUAGUUGGUGGGGUAACGGCCCACCAAGGCGACGAUCCGUAGUUGGUCUGAGAGGAUGAUCAGCCACACUGGGACUGAGACACGGCCCAGACUCCUACGGGAGGCAG